ACUACCGGACGAGAAAAGGAGGUAUCGCAUAGACUAUGGUGGUGUGAAGUGUGUAAAACUUUGAAAGAAGAAUUUCAAUGCUGAAAUACCGAUACAAUUUCAUUGCGGACAGUGCGGAAAACGAACGAGUAUCAGGAAGAAUACGUGGUUCGACUCUUCCAAAUUAUCCAUCUAACCAGCGUAAUUCUAUCUUGCUGGAUUCGAGACUGCACCUUGCAAGUAACAGCAUCAGAAACUGCUACUACCGUGUGCGAUUAUUUCGGGUUUUGCAGAGAAGUGUGUUAUGUGGUAGUGACGAACGACAGUGUACCUAUUGGUGGACUGAGUAAAGUUGUUGAAAUGGACGAAUCUCACAUAGCAAGAAGGGAGAAGCAGAGGACAACCUUCAAAGAGUGAAAUCGACCAUAUUUGGCUAUUCGGAAGAAUAGAACGAGAGUCCCAGAAGUGUUUCAUUGUCAUAGUAUUGUCCACAGACAAUGUCACUUUAUUGAGUCUGAUAAAGCAUUUCAUACUGCCUGGUAGAAAAGUCAUUACAGAUGGGUUUCAGUCCUGCAAGGCACUCAAAGUAGAAGGAUUCGACCACGAGCUCGACAACCACUCUGUAGAGUUUGUGUCUUCAGAUAACCCCAGUGUGCACACACAGAACAUCGAGCGGCUAUGGAAAUCCGUGAAGUCUUCCAUUAAAAGAGAAGGGCGUCCAGGACAAAGAGACGAACUAUACUUGUUUCGGUACCUCUAUUUCCACAAGUUGUGUUUGCAGGAAAAUUAAUGCAGGUGAGACACUACCCAUAUUUUUGCGUGAUUACCAAGGCUGUGGCAAAAAUGGAAUAGUUCCCGUAGCGUACACAUCACAUGGACUUUCACAAAAGGACAACACCGACGAGGAGUAACCCCUUCUGACAUAAGGCACCACUGACAACAAAUGCUUGCAUGCUUCCAUAACUGUGUGUGUGUAGGUGUCCAGGCCAAUAAGAGAAUUGGAAGUCACACGACACCAUGCAGCACUGGUUCAGUAUAGAGGAAGCUACAAUGGAGCAUAUGAGCAAGCUUCAUUACUUCUUUGUGGAAAGAAAGGGCAAGAUUUCAGCCUGAAAGAAAUAAAGUUCAGCCUACCCUCUGCGAAAUAUGAAGGUGAUUUUAAAAUAUCUGCUGAGAAAUAUAGAGAUUUACAAGCCUUGAAAGAUUUUGCCAUAAUGAAGUGCAAGUGUAUUUUGAUUGUAUUUUGCAUUAAUCCACCAUCAAAAAAGCACAGGCCCUUUUACAGAAGAUUAUUAAAUGAUUAUAUGUGAUAAUUUGUUGUAACAUGCAUUUGAAAUCUUCUAGUUACCUGCAAUAUGUUAUGGACUUGUCAUUUUUCCUCUGUAUGACCUGCCUU